rfam:Bacillus vietnamensis strain TCD-SED5 scaffold_0, whole genome shotgun sequence.
AACACCUUUUAAUAUGGUCCAGAGAGUCUAAGAAGGGUGAAUUUGAACAAGACAUGCGGGAUUUUACCGCACUGUCACUGUUGGUAUGUUCAAAAACACCCUGUCGGGAAGAUGACAGGGUGUUUUUUUU